GGGCCCCUCUCUUUUUCUCAAAGACGAAUGAAGAGAAAAAAGAGAAAAAAGUAAAAAAAAAAAAAAAAAAUAGCGAAAAAAAAAUAAGAAACAACAACAACAAAAAAGAUAAGAAAUGGAAAAGGCCGAUUCCCGAUAUAUCGCUCUAGCACGCGACUCUUCUCUCUUUCGGGCGAUCCUCGAAAGCGUGCGCGUGCGUUUCAGAGGAUCGCAAUCCGUGAUACUACUCUCUCAACUACCGAUCCUCGUCGGCGGGCGACUCGCUCGCCACUCUCGCGUGAAACGAUCAGGAGUACGCCAAACGAAAAGAGAGGAUAUAUGGAGUUGGUUAAAAGGGAGGGGGAGAGAGCUCUUGAUAGAGACUGAUAGGAGCGAGCGAGAGAGACGGAGAGAGGAAUAGGUGAUAUGAGACUAAGAUUGAGAGAGAGAGAGAAAGAGAAAGAGAUAGGAAGAGGGAAAAGAGAGGAGAAAAGGAAAAAGAGAGAAAGGGAGGAGAAGAAGAGAUAGAUAGAUAGAUAGAGAGAGAGAGAGAGAGAGAGAGAGAAAAAAGUCGGUCACAGCCGCAGCCGAAUUCGCCGGCGCUCGUCACGUCGGGAGUCGUGCGAGCCACGGGAGGAUUGAGUGUGUACUAACAUACACCUUCUUGUCCUUGCCUGUCUUAUAUAGUGACUCAUCAGGCAGCGGCCCCACGGCGGCCCCUCUGUGCGGCGGGGUGGGGGCGCCCCGUAGAUCAGCGGCGGCAGCAGCAGCAGCAGCAGCAGCAGCAGCAGCAGCAGGAGCACAGAACGGCACAGCAUAGCAUAACACAGUACAACAGAACAGAUCACAGAACAGUACGGCAGAGUACAGUACACAUGGCACAAUAUACAAUAGAAAAGUACGGCACGACGAAGAAGAGGCACGAUAGAACGCAGAAUACCUUAGCAUAGCACAGUACAAAAGUAACAGAAAGAGUAACAGUUACAACAGCAACAGCAGCAGCAACAGCAACGUUUGCAGUAGCACACGUUGAGAAGAUCAUUCGGGCUUCGUCACGUCGUACAGUAGUGAGGACUCAAGAGGGGAGGGGAGAAAGGGGCAGAGAGUACGAUCGUCAGCCACGAGGGUGGUGGGCAGAACACGAGCGAGGGUGCGAGGGCGGACCAAACCCUCGGGCCCCCCGCGACGGACCCCGCAAAGUCCGGAGAGAGUCCCUCUGCUGAAUGGUGGGGGUAAAUGUGGCUUCUCGCCACGGAGAACCGCUUCGAGCACUCAGACGGCGCGAUGCGGCGCUAGUGAGCGCGUCGUCCGCUCCGAUAAAAUAUUUUCGUAUAUUAAAAUCCUCAUGCCAUAUAAUGGCAAUAUAUCUUCCGCCUUUUUAUUACGACGUUAUUCUCGCAUUUAAUUAUAGUGCGGAUUGUCAAAAGGAAGUGUGCAAAUUUUGAGUUCCAUUUCUAUUUUUAUUAUUGAUUGUUAUUUAACUCGAAAGAGGCGUCGACGAUUGGUUCAUCGGUAACGUCGAACGUCCUGAUAUCGAGCGAUCGUUUCGUUCGUGUAAUUUCGUAAUCCCGAUGUGUCAAAUGUUUAAUAUUUCAACCAAUGAUCUCCCUCACGCACGUUUUAUAACUUACGAAGUCAAAUCAUACGGCAGGCAGGCAGGCAGGCAGGCAGGCAAGCAAGCAGGCGGACGGACGGACGCAAAGGAGCGCAACGGAAGGAGAGCGCAGAACGUACGAACCGGUCUCUCAGCUUAUAUAUCCAUGCGAGUUCGACGAACCGCCUUCU